rnacentral:piRNA from 1 species
UACUGAAUAAGACAUUGGAGAGUGCCUGG